AUUGAACGCUGGCGGCAGGCCUAACACAUGCAAGUCGAGCGGGGUUUUCGGACCUAGCGGCGGACGGGUGAGAAAUGCGUAGGAAGCUGCCCGAUAGAGGGGGAUACCAGUUGGAAACGACUGUUAAUACCGCAUAAUGUCUACGGACCAAAGUGUGGGACCUUCGGGCCACAUGCUAUCGGAUGCGCCUACGUGGGAUUAGCUAGUUGGUGAGGUAAUGGCUCACCAAGGCGACGAUCUCUAGCUGGUUUGAGAGGAUGAUCAGCCACACUGGAACGGAGACACGGUCCAGACUCCUACGGGAGGCAGAAGUGGGGAAUAUUGGACAAUGGGCGCAAGCCUGAUCCAGCCAUGCCGCGUGUGUGAAGAAGGCCUUCGGGUUGUAAAGCACUUUCAGCGAGGAGGAAGGGGUGUGUGUUAAUAGUACACACCUUUGACGUUACUCGCAGAAGAAGCACCGGCUAACUCUGUGCCAGCCGCCGCGGUAAUAC
rnacentral:rRNA from 1 species